AGACGGAGGGUGCAAGCGUUGCUCGGAAUCACUGGGCGUAAAGGGUGCGUAGGCGGCCUUUUAAGUCUGGCUUGAAAGCCCAGGGCUCAGCCCUGGAAGUGCGCUAGAAACUGAAGGGCUCGAGUAUCGGAUGGGAGAGUGGAAUUCCUGGUGUAGCGGUGAAAUGCGUAGAUAUCAGGAGGAAUACCGGUGGCGAAGGCGACUCUCUGGACGAUAACUGACGCUGAGGCACGAAAGCGUGGGGAGCAAACGGGAUUAGAAACCCUAGUAGUCC
rnacentral:rRNA from 1 species